GAAUUAGUAGCUUAAUAGGUAAAGGACCCUCCUGUCACGAGGGAAGAUGAGGGUUCGAUGCCCUCCUAAUUCG